UGAAUCUGUGAUGGUGUUAAAUAUACUUUGAGAGAUUAAUCUCCAGCAAAAAAUAAGUCCAGUCUGUGGCAUUUU